rnacentral:rRNA from 1 species
AAUCUUCCGCAAUGGGCGAAAGCCUGACGGAGCAACGCCGCGUGAGUGAUGAAGGUCUUCGGAUCGUAAAACUCUGUUAUUAGGGAAGAACAAAUGUGUAAGUAACUAUGCACGUCUUGACGGUACCUAAUCAGAAAGCCACGGCUAACUACGUGCCAGCAGCCGCGGUAAUACGUAGGUGGCAAGCGUUAUCCGGAAUUAUUGGGCGUAAAGCGCGCGUAGGCGGUUUUUUAAGUCUGAUGUGAAAGCCCACGGCUCAACCGUGGAGGGUCAUUGGAAACUGGAAAACUUGAGUGCAGAAGAGGAAAGUGGAAUUCCAUGUGUAGCGGUGAAAUGCGCAGAGAUAUGGAGGAACACCAGUGGCGAAGGCGACUUUCUGGUCUGUAACUGACGCUGAUGUGCGAAAGCGUGGGGAUCAAACAGGAUUAGAUACCCUGGUAGUCCACGCCGUA